UCAAAGGAGGAGGUGGCGCUCUAAGCGGAUUUAUAAGUGGGCGGGGCUGCUGGCUGAAGGUUACGGGUCACUCUUGAAAUAGAUGUUAAGAGCUGUGGGUUUAGUAAAAAGACGAGAAUUCUGCAGGUACACCUUGUAAAUUGUUUCUAGAAAGCAGCCACUAAUUAGUUAAGGUUGAAGUUUAUCUCACUCAGAAGUUAUUUUAAAACACUCUCCAGGGAGAUGUCAGAUUUAUUUCAAAGGCCAAGGUUUGUUCUGUCUCCACUGCUGCAAGCUCAACCUGUAAUCUGAAAACUCUGCCUCUCAUCAUUUAUAAAGUAAAAUGUGUAAUCUAUACCCAAAAUGCUGCACAGGACAUGGAUUUAUGACAUAAGGAGAACGGAAUUCACCAUUUCUUUCAUCAAGAUCUUUUCCAAUGAGCCAGCUCUUCACAUCAGGUGGCCAAAAUAUUGGAGCUUCAACUUCAGCAUCAAUACUUCCAAUGAAUGUUAAGACUUAAUUUUGUUUAGGGUUGACUGGUUUGAUCUCCUGCCUGUCCAAGGGACUCUCAAGAGUC